rnacentral:rRNA from 1 species
UACGUAGGGGGCAAGCGUUGUCCGGAAUUAUUGGGCGUAAAGAGCGUGUAGGCGGUCCGGUAAGUCGGCUGUGAAAGUCCAGGGCUCAACCCUGGGAUGCCGGUCGAUACUGCCGGACUAGAGUUCGGAAGAGGCGAGUGGAAUUCCCGGUGUAGCGGUGAAAUUCGUAGAUAUUCGGAGGAACACCAGUGGCGAAGGCGGCUCACUGGCUCGGUACUGACGCUGAGGUGCGAAAGCGUGGGGAGCAAACAGG